CAUAACCAAAGUGUAUAAUUAGAUUUUUAUUAUAGAAAAAUAAACAAUAUAAUAUGAACUUUUAUGGGCCCCAGAGAGGGGUAAGAAAAAUCUUUUAGUUUAAUAAAUCUAUACGGAGCAUACCGUGCGAGUCCCACUUACAAGUCAAGAGGACAUGCGAGUCCCGCCAGUUAUACAUGGCACACUCAGCAAACAAUAUGAGACCCAGCGAUGUUGCCACAACGCUGGGUCUCGUAUUGUUUGCCGAAUCUUUUAGGUACUCCCCGGUUUUUAUAUUUCACCUCGAAUUUAACAGUUUUGUUUCAGCGGUUGCUAUUUUAAUUCUUGUGAAUAGUAAGGGCGGACGUAAAAUAGUGAUUUUAGGCGCAAGUAUAAAUAUUAGGUACCUAUGGAAAAUAGAUCGAAAAAAUUUUUGGAACGCGUUGGACGAAAAUAAUAAAAAAAAAGAUUAUUCAAAUGCAAAUAAGAUGGGAAAAUCUUAUUUUGGGCCGCCUAGCAAAACGAAACACAAUGCGAAAAAAAAAACUGAGCUUUUAGAGCCCAAUGUAAAGAUCUUAUCGAACGUUAACCUUAAAGAAAAAAUUGGUAACUACUUGCAAACUAUAACAACUCACUUUUUUUUUAAUGUCAAGAAAAUAAAAUAGAUGAAUCAACAUUAUCUGAAAGUAAAAAUAACGUAGAGACUCCAUUUAAUAAAUAUGAUAAAGAAAAGAAACAGGACCAUUUAAAUCCCAAAGCAAAUAUUUUACUGGAACCAGAUGUUAAACUUAAUGAUAAUAUUGAUAACGACUCACAACCUUUAAACAAAACCUUGGAUUUAUAUAAAUUUCAAGAAAAUGAUUUAGAGGAAAAAGCAUCAAAAUCGCCUGAAUACGAUAAGCUGGAAGAAAAAACUUACACUCCAUUAAA